rnacentral:rRNA from 1 species
GACGAACGCUGGCGGCGUGCUUAACACAUGCAAGUCGAACGGAAAGGCCCUGCUUUUGUGGGGUGCUCGAGCGGCGAACGGGUGAGUAACACGUGAGUAACCUGCCCUUGACUUUGGGAUAACUUCAGGAAACUGGGGCUAAUACCGGAUAGGAGCUCCUGCUGCAUGGUGGGGGUUGGAAAGUUUCGGCGGUUGGGGAUGGACUCGCGGCUUAUCAGCUUGUUGGUGGGGUAGUGGCUUACCAAGGCUUUGACGGGUAGCCGGCCUGAGAGGGUGACCGGCCACAUUGGGACUGAGAUACGGCCCAGACUCCUACGAGAGGCAGCAGUGGGGAAUAUUGCACAAUGGGCGGAAGCCUGAUGUAGCAACGCCGCGUGCGGGAUGACGGCCUUCGGGUUGUAAACCGCUUUCGCCUGUGACGAAGCGUGAGUGACGGUAAUGGGUAAAGAAGCACCGGCUAACUACGUG